CCAAUAGCGUAUAUUAAAGUUGUUGCAGUUAAAAAGCUCGUAGUUGAAUUUCGGGGUCAGCAGGUUGGUCGUGCCAAUGGUAUGCACUGGCCUUGCUGAUUCCUCCCUCUUGAUGAGCCGUAAUGUCAUUAAUUUGGUGUUGCGGGGAAUCAGGACUGUUACUUUGAAAAGAUUAGAGUGUUUAAAGCAGGCAAGCGCUUGAAUACAUUAGCAUGGAAUAAUGAAAUAGGACGUUUGAUCCUAUUUUGUUGGUUUCUAGGAUUGACGUAAUGAUUAAUAGGGAUAGUUGGGGGCAUUAGUAUUCAAUUGUCAGAGGUGAAAUUCUUGGAUUUAUUGAAGACUAACUACUGCGAAAGCAUUUGCCAAGGAUGUUUUCAUUAAUCAAGAACGAAAGUUAGGGGAUCGAAGACGAUCAAAUACCGUCGUAGUCUUAACCAUAAACUAUGCCGACUAGGGAUCGGAUGAUGUUAAUUUUUUAAUGACUCAUUCGGCGCCUUACG
rnacentral:rRNA from 1 species